rnacentral:rRNA from 1 species
GCGCCAUAGGAUGUGGCUGCGGCCGAUUAGGUUGACGGUGGGGUAACGGCCCACCGUGCCCAUAAUCGGUACGGGUUGUGAGAGCAAGAGCCCGGAGACGGUAUCUGAGACAAGAUACCGGGCCCUACGGGGCGCAGCAGGCGCGAAACCUUUACACUGCACGACAGUGCGAUAAGGGAACUCCGAGUGCGGAGGCAUAGAGCCUUCGCUUUUGUACACCGUAAGGUGGUGCACGAAUAAGGGCUGGGCAAGACCGGUGCCAGCCGCCGCGGUAAUACCGGCAGCCCAAGUGAUGGCCGAUAUUAUUGGGCCUAAAGCGUCCGUAGCUGGCCGGACAAGUCCGUUGGGAAAUCCGCGCGCUCAACGCGCGGGCGUCCAGCGGAAACUGUCCGGCUUGGGGCCGGAAGACCUGAGGGGUACGUCCGGGGUAGGAGUGAAAUCCUGUAAUCUCGGACGGACCGUCUGUGGCGAAAGCGCCUCAGGAAGACGGACCCGACAGUGAGGGACGAAAGCCAGGGUCUCGAACCGGAUUAGAUACCCGGGUAGUCCUGGCUGUAAACGAUGUCCGCUAGGUGUGACGCAGGCUACGAGCCUGCGCUGUGCCGUAGGGAAGCCGUGAAGCGGACCGCCUGGGAAGUACGUCUGCAAGGAUGAAACUUAAAGGAAUUGGCGGGGGAGCACUACAACCGGAGGAGCCUGCGGUUUAAUUGGAC